rnacentral:other from 1 species
UAACUCCUGCGAUGUACGUUACGGCGAUUUAAUGUUUUGAACCAAUGAUUUUAUGACGGGAGUCCAACAUUGCUUGGCAGCUGGCAAGCCCUCGAAAGGGGAAGCCAAACGCCUUUGCUGCGGACACCCACCUGCGAGAGCGGGUUCGAAACAUGAGCGUCGGACGGCAUAGGCGGGUUUUUU